rnacentral:rRNA from 1 species
CGCUCCUACCGAUUGAGUGUGCUGGUGAAGUGUCGGGAUUGGCUCUGUUUGAUGGCAACAUCGAGCAAGGCUAAAAACGUCAUUAAACCCUCCCACUUAGAGGAAGGAGAGGUCGUAACAAGGUU